rnacentral:rRNA from 1 species
UGCCAGCCGCCGCGGUAAUACGGAGGGUGCAAGCGUUAAUCGGAAUUACUGGGCGUAAAGGGCGCGUAGGUGGCUAAGUCAGUCGGGUGUGAAAGCCCCGAGCUCAACUCGGGAAUUGCAUUCGAUACUGCUUGGCUAGAGUGUGGUAGAGGAAAGCGGAAUUCCGGGUGUAGCGGUGAAAUGCGUAGAUAUCCGGAGGAACACCAGUGGCGAAGGCGGCUUUCUGGAUCAACACUGACACUGAGGCGCGAAAGCGUGGGGAGCAAACAGGAUUAGAUA